rnacentral:rRNA from 1 species
CGGAUGCGAUCAUACCAGCACUAAAGCACCGGAUCCCAUCAGAACUCUGAAGUUAAGCGUGCUUGGGCGAGAGUAGUACUAGGAUGGGUGACCUCCUGGGAAGUCCUCGUGUUGCAUCCCUC